CUCAAGCAGACUCCCUGCUGAGUGCGGAGUUGGAGGGGCUUAAUCUCAGAUACAUGGUUUGCAAAUAUUUUCCCCUUUCUGUAGGUUGUCUUUUCACUUUCUUGAUAAUACCUUUUGCACAGAAGUGUUUAAUUUUUGAUGAAGUCCAAUUUAUCUUUUUUAUUUUGUCUUGUUUUUCUUGCUUUGGGUGGUAUAUUUAAGAAUCCACUACCAAAUCCAAGAGCAUGAGGAUAUUUCUUCUCUGUUUUUCUUCCAAGAAUUUUAUCAGUUUAGCUGUUACAUAUGGGUCAUUGACCUGCUGGAAUUGGUUCUGCGGUUCUACAUUUGCAAAGGAAAGACAAGAGUUCAACCCAUUUCCACUCCUCUCUUUCAAGAAAAAAGAAAAAAGAACAAGGACAAAUAAUGGCUCAAACAGAGCAUGACAGGAAGCUUACAAUUUCAUGUACUGUACUCACCGUGAACACCGACCCCAGUCUUGCUGCGGCUUUGUCAGAAUCCAGUACCUGCGAACCAGCCCGGCAAAGGCAUGUGGGUGAAAUCCAUGCAGAAUCCGUGAAGAGGUGAUCGUUCUCAACCCUGGCUUCACAUCAGCAUCAACUGAAGAGAUUAAAAACUAAGCCCACCACAGACUAAGUGAAAUUAUUCUACCUGAGUAAAGUCGGGCAUGAUUUUGUAAAUCUCAACGUUAGAACCAAUGAUUUAAAGGGAAUGGAAAUUUAUUGUUCAUUUAAGGCUGUGCAUAUGCAUAACCUGGGAUCUUGUUAAAAUGCAUAUUCUUACUCAAAAAGUAACUCAGAAUGGAUCCAAGACCUAAAUGUAAGAGUUAAAACUAUGAAACUCAGAAGAAACAAGGUAUAAAUCUUGUUUCUGCUGCCCAGUCCAACUACUUUGGACUGGGCAGUAGUUUUUCAGAGAUGACACCAAAAAGGCAACCAAUGAAAAAUAAGUUGGACUUCAGCAAACUUUAACUUCUGUGCUUUUAAAGUUGUUCAAGUAAACAAACCCUACAGGAUUGGCAGAUGAUGUGUUUGUUAAGAAUCUAGUAUCCAGGAUAUGUAAAGAACUCUCACAAGGUAACACUAAAAAGAGGAAAAAAACAACUUAAAAAGGCAACAAAGGAUUUGAAUAGACAUUUCUCCAAAGAUGAUAAGCAAAUGGCCAAAUAAGCACCUGAAAAGAUGUUCAACAUCAUUAGGGAAAUGCACAUGGAAACCUUAGUGAGAUGUCACUUCACACUUGCUAGGGUGGCUGUAGUCACAGAGAAGUGACAAGUGUUGGGUAGAUUGCUGGUGGGAAUGUAAAAUGGUACGUCUACUUGGAAACCAGCUCAGCAGUCUUUUCAAAGGUUAGCCACAGGAGCCCCAACUACAGAGGGAAGUGGUACAGAUUCCCGGAGGUUAAUCCACUAGCUGUUACUCAACCCUCUGACCUCAGAGUAUACCAACUACUGCAACCUGACCCUUCACUUAAGAUGGAAGAAAGCCUACCAAAUUCUCACUUGAGAAUGGAAAUUCAAGUUAAACUCUCUGAGCUCUGCUAGUGUCUUAAAGAUAAAUGUGUCCCCAACUACUUCAAAUCUAGGCCUGAAAGACCCUGUUGACAGUGAUUUCUGCCAAAUAGAGGGAAGAAAAGCAGUGCCUGUCAAGUAGGCCAGGAGCUGGCCUACUACUAGAAGCAAGGUCUCUUUGUCCUGCUGAAUAAUUUUGCAGAAUAUCUACAUGCCUACCAAGACUGUGACCAAAGUCAAAAGAUGAAUUUUGUAAUUGUGCCUGGACACAGAAAAACAUGAAUGUCUGUUUCACAAAAAUGACCAUAUACCUCCCUGUUCUGAACACUUGAUGAAUGAUAGCUUUUAGCCUCAGUUCAUUUCUCUCACCUUACGAAGAUACCCAGUCAUUCCCUACUUCCUCCACAGCUUCCUUGAAUCCCCCCUUAACUCACCUACUGUGUCCAAAACAUAAGUCCUUUUGUGACCUCUUACUGAAACCACCCCCCCCAUGGUUCUGGAAGUCUGUCCUCUGUUAUGCAACAAGCAAUAAACCCCAACUUGUAUGAUGA